rnacentral:rRNA from 1 species
GUGAGGAAUAUUGGACAAUGGGCGCAAGCCUGAUCCAGCCAUGUCGCGUGCAGGAAGACGCAUCUAUGGUGUGUAAACUGCUUUUGUACGGGAAGAAACACUCCCUCGUGAGGGAGCUUGACGGUACCGUAAGAAUAAGGAUCGGCUAACUCCGUGCCAGCAGCCGCGGUAAUACGGAGGAUCCAAGCGUUAUCCGGAAUCAUUGGGUUUAAAGGGUCCGUAGGCGGUUUAAUAAGUCAGUGGUGAAAGCCCAUCGCUCAACGAUGGAACGGCCAUUGAUACUGUUAGACUUGAAUUACAAGGAAGUAACUAGAAUAUGUAGUGUAGCGGUGAAAUGCUUAGAUAUUACAUGGAAUACCAAUUGCGAAGGCAGGUUACUACUUGUGGAUUGACGCUGAUGGACGAAAGCGUGGGGAGCGAACAGGAUUAGAAACCCCAGUAGUCC